GACGAACGCUGGCGGCGUGCUUAACACAUGCCAGUCGAACGGAAAGGCCCUGCUUUUGUGGGGUGCUCGAGUGGCGAACGGGUGAGUAACACGUGAGUAACCUGCCCUUGACUUUGGGAUAACUUCAGGAAACUGGGGCUAAUACCGGAUAGGAGCUCCUGCUGCAUGGUGGGGGUUGGAAAGUUUCGGCGGUUGGGGAUGGACUCGCGGCUUAUCAGCUUGUUGGUGGGGUAGUGGCUUACCAAGGCUUUGACGGGUAGCCGGCCUGAGAGGGUGACCGGCCACAUUGGGACUGAGAUACGGCCCAGACUCCUACGGGAGGCAGCAGUGGGGAAUAUUGCACAAUGGGCGGAAGCCUGAUGCAGCAACGCCGCGUGCGGGAUGACGGCCUUCGGGUGGUAAACCGCUUUCGCCUGUGACGAAGCGUGAGUGACGGUAAUGGGUAAAGAAGCACCGGCUAACUACGU
rnacentral:rRNA from 1 species